rnacentral:lncRNA from 1 species
UUGUAACACGGUGGUAUAGGGCACCAGAACUCCUACUUUGCUGUGACAACUAUGGGACAUCUAUUGAUGUAUGGUCUGUGGGAUGCAUCUUUGCUGAGCUUCUUGGACGAAAACCUAUUUUCCCGGGUUCAGAGUGUCUCAACCAACUAAAACUGAUUAUCAAUAUCCUUGGCAGUCAAAGGGAGGAGGAUAUUGAAUUUAUUGAUAAUCCAAAAGCAAAGAGAUACAUCAAAUCACUUCCAUAUUCCCCCGGAACCCCCUUUUCCAGACUUUACCCCAAUGCACAUCCAUUGGCAAUAGACCUACUCUCAAAGAUGCUUGUUUUUGAUCCCACAAAAAGGAUCAGUGUCACCGAAGCGCUUCAACAUCCUUUCAUGGCCUCUCUCUAUGAUCCUAAUUCUGACC